rnacentral:rRNA from 1 species
GAUGAACGCUGGCGGCGUGCUUAAUACGUGCAAGUCGAGCGAGGACCAUUUGGUGGCAACACCGGGUGGCUCCUAGCGGCGAACGGGCGAGUAACACGUGGGCAACCUACCCCCGACUUUGGGAUAAGCCCGGGAAACUGGGUCUAAUACCGGAUACGAGCCUCCUCCGCAUGGUGGAGGUUGGAAAGGGUCUCCGGUCGGGGAUGGGCCCGCGGCCUAUCAGCUUGUUGGCGGGGUAACGGCCCACCAAGGCGACGACGGGUAGCCGGCCUGAGAGGGUGAACGGCCACACUGGGACUGAGACACGGCCCAGACUCCUACGGGAGGCAGCAGUAGGGAAUCUUGCGCAAUGGGCGAAAGCCUGACGCAGCGACGCCGCGUGCGGGACGAAGGCCUUCGGGUUGUAAACCGCUUUCAGCAGGGACGAAGCGAAAGUGACGGUACCUGCAGAAGAAGGUCCGGCCAACUACGUGC